AAACAAAAAGCGAAUUAUUGCGUUUAGUUUCGGCCUAAAUUUUGAGAUUAUUUUCUCUUUGUUUG
rnacentral:tRNA from 3 species